UAGGGAAUAUUGGUCAAUGGAUGGAAGUCUGAACCAGCCAUGCCGCGUGCAGGAAGAAGGCCUUCUGGGUUGUAAACUGCUUUUGCCAGGGGAUAAAAUGACCUUGCGAGGUUAAUUGAAGGUACCUGGUGAAUAAGCCACGGCUAACUACGUGCCAGCAGCCGCGGUAAUACGUAGGUGGCAAGCGUUGUCCGGAUUUAUUGGGUUUAAAGGGUGCGUAGGCGGCUUAUUAAGUCAGUGGUGAAAUACUCUAGCUCAACUAGAGGGGUGCCAUUGAUACUGAUGAGCUUGAGUACAGAUGAGGUAGGCGGAAUUGACGGUGUAGCGGUGAAAUGCUUAGAUAUCGUCAAGAACACCUAUAGCGAAGGCAGCUUACUAGGCUGUAACUGACGCUGAGGCACGAAAGUGUGGGGAUCAAACAG
rnacentral:rRNA from 1 species